GCCAAAGUGCUUUGAAGUGGUUAUCACAACAGAAUUGAAAUCUGUUUCUGUUGGACUGCGCAGGUUCGAAACCUGCCGAUGGAU